GUUUUACAGCCCCACGGGGAAGGAAUAACCACACUGAGAGUUAAUGAAAAUGUAGACUGCUGAAAUGAGGAAAAUGGUUUCUCAAACCGCCACAGAACAGGAUAUUCACAAAGCUGAGGAGCACCAGCAGUCUUGCUGCAGUGGACAUCCUCAGCUCCACUCCCACAGAAGCUUCUGAGUGUUUUGCCUUUGUCUCAUUAAUUUGCAGAGAGCAGAAACAGCACAAAAGAGCUGCUCCAACAAAUUUCUGACAACAUCAUGCAAAAUUUUAAAGAAAAAUCAGAAAUUAUCAAUACAGGCAUUCCUGGGUUUUUCAUCCUCAGAUUCAUCAGGGUUCUUUUUUUAGGGCAAUACAGAAUACAAAGAAUAAGAAAUGAAAUCUUAAGAUGUGAACAUAAGAAAGAACAAGAAUCUCUGCAAAAAGAUCAGCAUCAGGAAGUUAAGAUUAAGUUUAUGUGCCUGGUCAGCAAAACUGAGGUCAGAAAGAUACACUUGGACUUUCAGCACAAUAUUUUUAUUAACUGUGAGCAGUGUCAAAUUGGCAAGAAAAUUGGCAGAAAGCUUUUGGUCCCUCUCGUCCUCAGUUUUGGGUCCCUCACACCAAGAAAAGGCCUUGAGGUGCUGGAGUGAGUUGGGAGAAGGGAACGGAGCUGGUGAGGGGCUGGAGCACAAGUGUGAUGGGAGCGGCUGAAAGACCUGGGGGGUUCAGCUGGAGAACAGGAGCUGAGGGGAGACCUUCUGAUCUCUGAACUGCCUGAAAGGAGCUUGGAGGCAGGGGGGGGUUGGGCUCUGCUCCCCAGGAACAAGCGCCAGGAGCAGAGGAAACGGCCUCAAGUUGCGCCAGGGGAGGUUGAGGUUGGAUCUGGAGAACAAUUUCUUCCCCAAAGGGCUGUGGGGCAUUGGAACAGGCUGCCCAGGGCAGUGCUGGAGUCACCAGCCCUGGAGAGUUGGACAGACGGACAUGAGGUUCUCAGGACAUGGGGCAGUGCCAGGGCUGGGGGAAUGGUUGGACUUGGUCAUCUUAAAGGUCUUUUCCAAACAAAAUGAUUCUAUGGUUCUGUGAAGAUGACUGUAAGCAUCUAGAGCUGAAGCAGCCCGGAGGCUGCGGAGGAGGGUUCCUGUCCCCGGCUCUGAGCAGCGACAAGGACUCCGACUGGAAGACUGCAAAGUGCCAGGAGAUCCCUCACUCCCCUCCUGGGGGCUGGCUUGGGGAGCCAGGAGUUCUGUCCUGCUCUGUAGAGUUUAUUUUAGAAGAACCAAACGUUAGCAGAAUUUUGAAGCUACGUUAUUGGUAGUGUUGUGUACACAGCUGAAAUACAGGCGAUGAAUUUAGAGCAGACAAUUAAAAGGAUGUAUGAUAACAAGUAAUCAUGAAUGUAUGCAGUUAAAGUUUAUGAAGGAAUUAUUUUACACCUGUCUGAAUGAAAUAGUGCAGAUAAUUGUACACUUAAAAAAGCAAAAAAUGAAUAUAAGCUUAGAGCAUAAUAGGAUCCAAUUUUUUUCUAGCUGUUGAAUUUCAGUGGCUUUGUUAAGGUGUGCAGGGCAGCGCCCCUGGGCUGGGGGGUAUCAUUAAUUAGCUUACUUUGCAUGUGGCGCAGGAUAGAAGCUGUUAGCACUCAGAAUUAAAUUCUGAAGAGCAUGUGCAAAGCAACCAAAUGGUGGACAAAAUGUGCGCUUCAACUCAGGGGAGAAAAUUACCUUGUACCACGCGCUAUCUACACCAGAUUUAGCCUCUAUUUUUCCCAUAUGUGUGCUUGCAUCCUGCACUUUGUCACGUGCAGGUUUGGCUAGAAGGUGAGUUCUGCCCAGCCUCAUGCUUUGUGUCCUGGGACAGGCAGGGUGGGAGUAACUGUGCAAAACCACAGGUUGGGUUUAAAACUUCGGUCUCGCAAUGUUUGAUUCUCUGGGUGUGUUGUCUGUCGUGAAGCAAAUUACCCAAAUUACAAAGAGGGUGUGACACAGCACAAUGAGGAAAGAGGCACAUACUUUUGAUUGGCUUUUAACAUAAAGAGUAUGGGAAGUAGUGCUGAAAGCGGGCCCCUAAACCUGUGCUGGGAAAUUUGUAAUCAGAAAUGGCAUAGUUUAUACUCUUCUGUAUUUCUAAUCGUAUUGUUGUCUGAUCUCAUCUAAAGCCUGAAGGCUUCUUGCUGGGUGAAAAUUGCAUGUGGAAAUAGAAUCUAGAUAAGUUGCCUGUCAUCUCAGUAUCAAAGCACUUGAGUCCAGGAUGAAAAUGUCAGGUUUUUAUUUUAGAAAAAGAAAGGCUUUUCCUCCUGUGGGAUUCUGUGAACAACAUGAAUCAAGAUGUCUGAAACCGCUGGACUGCAGAAAGUCAGACAGAGUCAAUUAUGUUUCAAAACCAUGACCAUGGCAAGGUGUAACUAAUCAACUAAUCAUGACAAAUUGUUUUCUUACCGGUAUAUAUUUGAUAGUCAUUUCUUGCUGUGUUCAUCUCAAAAACAAGAAGCAUAAAAUACCUGCAAACACUGUUCUCCAACAGUAUUUUUGCAUUUGUCUGGAGAAAGUUGGCGAUAACUGGUUCCAACCAUUUCUGCCACAUCUCCUGGCUUUCUGGAAAAGCUGCUCUAAAACGGCACCAAAUUGAAAGUGCCUUGUUGCAGAGAUUUUUAAUUUAGAAAUAAUAUAUCUUAGAUUUGCUUUACUCAAAUUAUUCAACAUCAUGAUUUGGAGUAUUCCAAACAGCAAUGAGAAAACUCUUUGAGACUCCUUAAUUGCACAGCUGAAGUGGAACCCUGGUGCAGCACACAUCCUCAGGCAAAAUGUUUAGACUACUUACCUCUCUGAUUAGUCUUUAGUUUCAAGGAAAAGAUAAAAGCAUCUAAUAGCAGUUGUUUUGGGGUUGUCUUCGAGGAUUGAUGGAGAGAGUGCUGACAGGUAGGUGAAACAUCGGACCGAUAAGUAAAAGAUAGCAGUGCAGAACCUGGCUGGGGCCAAAGCUACUGUAUGAGGAAAGGCAGGUAUCUAUAAAGUACAUAAGAUGUAGAGGCUGAUAAGUUGAGAGGAUAGUGUGAAAAGUGUGCUCUGUAAGCCAAAUGAAAACAUAUGGCUUAAGCUUUUGUUGUGUGUACUGCAGUUAUCACUGGAAAAGUUAUCUGAAUGUUUUCCUCCCAUAGCAAGAACCAAAAAUACCCCUUUCAUACCAAAAUUAACAGAAUCAAGAAAAAUACAGAAUCUCCAGGAGUCCUUUUGCAGCCCAGUCCCCUGGGAGAGAAAGGGUGAGACACUCCUGACAUUCAGCAGAGGAAUCCUAGUUAUUUCUGUUCUUUGCCAAGGCCAAAUCAGUCUCUUGAGAGAAUGUUGCUGGACUGGUAACAUUCAGCAUCAAGGAACUUGUGUUCAGAAAGCCACUGGCUCCCAGAGGGUGGUGGCUGUGGGCUGACUUCAGGGGUCAAUGCCCACAGCCUUCUUCUCCUCCACCAGCCUCCAAUGCACCAGGAGGACCCUUUCUCUGAAGUUAUUUUGUCCUAAUCAGAGAAAAAUUACUUGUAUCUUUAUUAGGCAAUGAAGAAAUCUCCUCUCUCACCCAGGUGCAUGAAUUGUUAAAACAGUUGGAGCAGGUUCAUGUGUCUUCUCACAGUUCAUGUGCUGGAAUUUUUCUAAGCAAUUUUGACUCCUCUGCAAUGAGAUACCAUAAUGCAUGAAUGAGGAUGACCGCAGUGGUUGCUAAUGAAAGCAGGUUAAUGUAUAGAGUAUAUUAUAUUUAUUUUAUUGCUCCUAUAACAUUGGGGCCACCGAGUCAGCAGAAAAGCCCAAGGAAGUUUUCCUACCCAUCGUAAGGCUGCUCCAUCUCCUGUCCAGCCUCCUGUGGGACUCUGUGCCAAGGGAUCCACUUCCAGCUUCGCACCCUCAGAGCACCCAGCUGCUCCGGAGCAAACACGGAUGGCACCGGUGACAUUGGACACCUUCAGUCCGUGGCAUGGGCUACUGCAGUUCUGUUCAAAUGAGGAAACAGAGUUAUUCUGUGGCGUUACAGGCUAAUUUCUCAUUGCAGACAGUAACUGAGUAAAUUGAGAGUAAUGCUCUUUAAAGCACCUGGAACUCAGCCUUGUGGCCUCCUGAUGAGGGAUAUAUUAAAGUAAAUACUGUAUUACAAAGACACUGACAGCAGACCACCUCGGCUGCUUUUGCAUAACUGUGUUUUCACUUCACUAAUAUGUUUUUACAGUAAAUAAGUAAGAAAGGGAUCCUAAAAGGGCUCAGAUAUUCCUUCUGUGUGCUGCUCUGUGGAGUAUUUGCUAGCAGUCUGCCUCCUGGCUUAGCCUUGUAGUUAGAGGUUUCUCAUAGCUAUUAAAGGAGAUUAAACCCAAGCAAAGAGCAAAUUGCACCAUUUUCUGGUAUUUCUUCCCAUACAAGCAACUGUUAGACAAGACUGGCUUGGCAAGGAGCUGUCCCAAAUCCCACUGCCCCCCUGUUCCUCUGAGACCACACAAAUGCUCAGAGUGCUAGGAGCAAGCUGCUUUCCCUUUGGGAUCUGGGCUAUUUGGCCUUCGCACACUCUGCAACUCUUAGUGCCCCACAUCCUUGACUGUUGCUGGGAGCCACAGAACCCAGUGAAGGCUGCACAUCCAUUCUGAGCUCCAGACGUCCACCUUCCAGUUGUUGAGUAGCAGCCACAUCUAUUUAACAGCUGUGGGUGAGGCACCAUCCCCUCUUCCUCAGGCUGUGUAAUUUCUCCACUCUGUCCCUAAACAUCUCUUUCUGCCGGUAUCCCUGCUCACAGCGGAGGAUUGGUACAUACUACUUUUCUUUAUGGUGUUUUUUUCAGGUUGCCAGGGAGACGGUCAUCUGUCUGCACUUUACAAUCCAGGCAUUUGGGCCUGAUUCCUCCAAGAAAUAGUCAGAGUUCCUGUUGUGAAAGGUGCUCUUGCUGGCCAUAAAGAAUGCUGGAAAAUGUGGUGCUGCAGGUGGACGAGUGACGAUGCUGGUCUGGCAACAUCCUGAAGCAUCCACAGCUUUACAAACACAGUUCUUCCCUCCUUCCAUCCCUGGCUUGAGUGUAGGUGCCAUCCUAACAGUUCCUGGCUGAUGUGAUUACGAUCCAGCAUCCUGAGGUGCCUGAUGGUUGCAGCUUCAGCACGUCCCUCCUGCUGCUGCCACGCUCUCCAUCCGCCCAUUCAGUCAACGGAGGAAUUGCAGGAAUUUUGGGAAUGUGUAGAUGAAUCUGGUGAAGAUGUCCCUGCUCAUGGCAGGGGUGGCACCGGGGGAGCUUCAAAGAUUCCUUCCAAGCCAGACUAUUCUGUCAUUCUAUGAUUCUAUAUUGUUUUUAGCUCAAGUUAAUGCCAUCGCAGACGUACUUCUGACUGUUGAUCACAGCGGUGUGUUCAGAGCCACUGGAACCCACCAGACAAACACAUUCCUCAUGCCUCAGCGCUGGCUCUCACCCUUGUUUGUAAAAUGAACCUGGUCCCUUGAACACUCACAGCAUAAGGGAGGUUUUUGUGCUGAGGUUACAUGCUCUCACCGCUUCUUCAGUUCGUGAGAAAGAAUAGGAUCAAAGAGCCAAGUACAACCAAUUGCACAAAGACAAGAUCAGCAGAUGUUCUUAUUAAACUUAGAAGAACUUAUGCCUCAUCUUUUAUGUUAGAAAGAAUAAUGGCAUUGUCAUUAUGUCUUAUAUCUGCCUAUUUUGCUGCUAAAAAAAAAAGAAGAAAAAGUGCAAAGGCUCCACACAAACAUUAACAUUUUCGAAAGUCCCAACUGUGCCAUGAAGUGCCACAUUUGACUCAUUGAUUUGGUCUAUUUUGCUCUGUUCCUUAUUCUGCUCUAAUCUUUACUUUGCUCCAUCCAUCUAUUUUAUUUUCAUUAUAAAGGUGCUGCAGGGAUCAUAGCAGAAAAUGGCACAAGAAGAGGCAGAGAGGUUUUAAAAAAUACCGAUGAGCUGUUUGAACUCUUGCAAUCCUCGUGGCCACACAGAAGCAUUGGGAUAUUAAUUGGGUGGUUCAUUUGAGUUUAUUGCAGGCUCAAAGCCAUGAUUUCCUGGCAAAUAAAAGCAGAUAAAUAAUUAAAUACAAACUUUUGAAUUACGCAGUAAUUCUAAAGCAACUAUUAAUCCUUGGUCAGAUUUGGGGUGGGAAAGGUGAUAGCCUGCGCGUCUGAAAAGUAAACGUCACCUUCAUGAAUUGGCAUGGGGAGGUGAUGCUCCAUGUCAAUGAUACAGAGAUGCAGACGACCUGUGUGCUGUCGGUGCUGAGUCAGCUGCCCUGCAGGGAGGCCUGAACACAAGGAGCUGGGACACGGCUGCUCCUUGGGCAGGGGAGCGGGGAUCACACCUCAUAAACCCACACAGCAAUGGAGAUACUGCCCAUUCACUUCUUUGCAGCACCCUUACAUUCAUUUAUUCAAAGGAACCUGAAGGGUGGUGUUAUGGCAUAUUGCUAUAGGUUGUAUAAUCUCCUAUUAAUAGGAAUUAAAAACACAGACCAUUUUUUGAGUUUGUCAUACAUGUCGGAACAAUAUAUUGUACCAGUGGAGGGCAAACAAAGACACAUGGAGCUGAUCCCCUCCUGAGGUGGGGGAUGCACAUCUUGCCCCCCGCUUGCUGCCUGGCUUGCUGUACCUGCGGCAGGACUUUGCCAACAGCAUCCAUCACUGAGACAUACAGAGAUGCUUUUUUUAUGCAUUUGCCAUAAGUUUAUAUUAACUCGAUGACUUGAACUAUUGUACCUAUAAACAAAUAGUGAGAACAGAAUACAGAUGACCUAACUGAGAAUGUAUUGUGAAACUGGGUUUUAAGAUUAUUAUUAUUGUUGUUAUCUUAAAGGAAACACAAUUAUUAUAUAAGGCUGCAUGAGGGCCAGUAGCACGUGCAGUGCUGAGAGCACACCCUCGGUGCAACUGAAAGUAGCUCUCCAGAGGUGUUUGACCUGUUUUUAAUCAAGUUAUAGGUUAUAUAAAAAACAAGUUAAUAGAAAACUGGAGGCCAACAUAAAUGUUUCCACAGUCCCCUGCAAACAUUUAUUUUAAACAAAUAAAAAAUUUCUCAGUAUCUGAGAACCUGGAAGUCAAGCUGUUAACACGGAGAACUGGACUUCCUAACUCAGAACUAACAUAUACAGAAAGAAAAGAAUGGCUGUUAUUAGGAGAAAAUGGUUAUUUUUCUCCCUUUUAAAAAUAACACUAGCUAUUAACUCGGACAAGCUGUCCUGCUCUGUGUUAGCUGGUGGCUGACUGUUCCUGACAUCAGUCAGCAGAGCAGUGAGGGGAGUCACAGACAGAACAGUGUUAAUCUGCUCGUCAAGUGGAAAUACCCAUCUGUGCUUCGGGGGCGAAGUGUGGCUCAGUCAGCUUCUCGUGCAGAGAGAAUUUCAUAGAACCAUAG